CGCACGUACGUUGAGAGGAGCGCACGUACGUUGAGAGGAGCGCACGUACGUUGAGAGGAGCGCACCGGAGAAAGAACACACGAGCUGCGGGACAGUGAGAGGAACACACUGGUAGAAGAGCACACAGGCAGCUGGAUGUCGAGAGGAGCGGAAGAGCACAGCGACAGGCACUGGUGUCGACCAGCGGAACGACGUGGAGUUUGGCCUGGGAGGUCAGAGAAGAAUUUGGCUGCUGGGCAGCCCCACUAUAGGGGAAAACCACCUUCCCACUCCAUUCCCCUUCUGAUCUCCCCAUCCACCUCGCUGAGAGCUACCACAACUCAAUAAAAAACCUAGCACUCGAUCUCCAAGCCCACAUGUGAUCCAAUUUUUCCCGUGCACUAAAGCAAGAACCUGGGAUACAGAAAGCCGUCUGUCCUUGUGAUAAGGCAGAGGGUCUAAUUGAGCUGAUUAACACAAGCCACCUGCGGACAGCUAAGCUGAAAAAGCAUCCUGUAACACACGCCCACUGGGGCCUCAGGAGGUGUAAACAUUCACCCCGAGAGGCUGCAUGGGUCCGCGCCCAUGGUCCCCAUGACUUGCCUGUUUGCCUGCUCUGGCUAAGGGUCUUGACCAGUGGGGCACUGAAGAAGCGAGCCACACCUCCAUCGUACGCCCUGCGAGGAGGAAAUUGCCACAGUCACCUCAACCUUCAGCAACCACCAACUUGAUCAAUCAGCAGCCAAUAACGUGAAGUCAUGACCAUUCACCAGCAAAAAGUUUAUGAUUCACCAAAAUAUUAGAUGAUCAUUAACAUUUUUAGCAAUAAUGUAUUUGUCAUUAAGGUGUUAGUGCAUUGGAAAAUCAUUUAAAGAAUGUAUCAGCUAAUUGAAGGCUUAUGUGUAAACAAGAUUCCUGCCAGGCUUUGACUACUACCCUUGGCCUUCCUAUACAGGGUUGUAAAGAAUCAUCAUGAUGUAUGUUUGAAAUUAUGUUUAACAGUAUUACAGUCAAUAUAGACUAAAUUUUGAUGCAGUAACAACCUCAGAACUUUUACAAUCAUUGCUGGACUGAGAGAGAAAGAGAGAGUGAACAGGGAAUGUCACAUGAGCAGAGAAUGUCACUAUCUCAACUGUAAAAAACAAACAUUACUUCUACUCACAUUUCAUUGCCCAGAACUAGUCCUAUACCUGUGCCUAACUGGAAAUGAGCACAAACUAUCGUGUCUGUCAUGCUCAAGGAGAGGAAAUUGGUUAUUGGUCAGUGUCAAUAUUGUCCACAAAUGUGAAUUACAUUUUAUAAGGUGUUGACUCUGCCUGUCACCCACAAAAGAGCUUUGAGUACAAUUGGCAAACCGUAUAUGCUAUAUUUUUAAAACAAUAUUUCUCUUCCAUGUGUUAAAUGUAAUAAUUGUUUUAGAUUAUUUAACUUGAUAUAUUACUAAGCUUUUUUUCCCUACUCAAACAAAAAGUACUCUUACAAUCAAAGAAACAUGUUUAUUGUUGUUGUUGAUUUAAUUUUCAAACACAUUUGAAGGACUCAAAACACAACCACUCUUUCAAACCUCAAAUAUCAACUAAGUUAUAAUCAGUAUCUUUUGUAUGGUAAGGCACUAGACCCAGAAUAACAGAAGAAAAACAAUGGAAGAUAAAUUUAAAAGUUAAUGGAAGAAAACAUAAUUAUGGAGAGUUACAACUAUUACAUGUUUACUUUUAAACUGGUAAUUGAUAUCUAAAAUAAGUAAGGGUUUGAUAUGGGAAGAAUAGUAAACGGGAGAUAGGAGCACUAAUUUUAAGACACUUUUUUGACAUCAGUUAGUAAAACAAUUUUGGAAAAAAACAAUGAUCUAUGUUUCUUAAAUCUAAUUAAUUUAUAUUAUUUCAUAUAUAUUUUUUAAAAUGAGCUAUCCUUCAAAAUGC
rnacentral:lncRNA from 1 species